rnacentral:rRNA from 1 species
UUAAAUUAUUAAGGGCGUAUGGUGGAUGCCUUGGCAUUAGAAGACGAUGAAGGACGCGACAAACAGCGAUAUUGCUUCGGGGAGUUGUAAGUAAACUUUGAUCCGGAGAUUUCCGAAUGAGGAAACUCACCCAUUAGGGUAUCAUAAAGUGAAUACAUAGCUUUAUUGAAGUCAACCCCGUGAACUGAAACAUCUUAGUAACGGGAGGAAAAGAAAGAAAAAUCGAUUGCCUGAGUAGUGGCGAGCGAAACGGCAACAGCCCAAACCAGUCUUAGGACUGGGGUUGUAGGACACUAAUAUACGGAGUUACCAAGUUUUAUGAUAGCAGAACACUUUGGAAAGAGUGACCAUAGAAAGUGAUAGUCUUGUAUGCGAAAUCAUGAAACCUCUAUAGUGUAUCCUGAGUACGGCGGGACACGAGAAAUCUUGUCGGAAUCUGUGGGGACCAUCCCAUAAGGCUAAAUACUCUCUAAUGACCGAUAGUGAACAAGUACCGUGAGGGAAAGGUGAAAAGAACCCCGGGAGGGGAGUGAAAUAGAGAAUCUGAAACCAUAUGCUUACAAAAAGUUCGAGCCCAUUAACGGGUGAGAGCGUGCCUUUUGCAGAAUGAGCCGGCGAGUUAUGGUAUUGUGCAAGGUUAAGUGGAAAACACGGAGCCGAAGCGAAAGCGAGUCUUAAUAGGGCGAUUUAGUACAAUGCUGUAGACCCGAAACCGAGUGAUCUAGCCAUGAGCAGGUUGAAGUUGGGGUAAUACCCAAUGGAGGACCGAACCAGGGUACUAUGUAACGUGCUUGGAUGACUUGUGGCUAGCGGUGAAAUUCCAAUCGAACUCGGAUAUAGCUGGUUCUCCCCGAAAUAGGUUUAGGCCUAGCCUUGAAUUAUUUCAUCCUGGAGGUAGAGCACUGAAUGUGGAAUGGCCGCGUCUAGCGGUACUGACUGCAAUCAACCUCCGAAUGCCAGGAAUUGUAGAUUCAGGAGUCAGUGUAUGAGGUGAUAACGUCCAUACGCGAGAGGAAAACAAUCCAGACCAUCAACUAAGGUCCCUAAAUAUAUGUUAAGUGGGAAAGGAUGUGGAGACGCACGAACAGCUAGGAGGUUGGCUUAGAAGCAGCCAUCCUUUAAAGAGUGCGUAAUAGCUCACUAGUCGAGUAUCUCUGCGCCGAAAAUGUACCGGGGCUAAACAUAUUACCGAAGUUAUGGAUUUAUAAUUUAUUAUAAAUGGUAGGGGAGCGUUCUAAGGGCGCUGAAGGUAGAUCGUGAGGACUACUGGAGCGCUUAGAAGUGAGAAUGCCGGUGUGAGUAACGUAAGGUAGGUGAGAAUCCUACCCACUAUUUGACCAAGGUUUCCAGGGUCAAGUUCGUCUUCCCUGGGUUAGUCGGGACCUAAGGCGAGGCUGAAAAGCGUAGUCGAUGGACAACAGGUUUAUAUUCCUGUACUGCUUAUAGGACUGAUGGAGUGACGGAGAAAGCUAGGAAGAGCCAGUUAUUGGAUUCUGGUCUAAGCGUUUAGGUUGAUGCACAGGAAAAUCCGUGAUAUCGAUAAGACUGAAGCGUGAUGGCGACGUGGUCUACGGACCGCUAAGUCUUCUGAAGCUAUGCUUCCAAGAAAAACUUCUAAAGAUAUGUUAUAAGUACCCGUACCUAGAACCAACACAGGUGGUCAAGGAGAGAAUCCUAAGGUGAGCGAGAGAACUAUGGUUAAGGAACUCGGCAAAAUUACCCCGUAACUUCGGAAUAAGGGGAGGUUUCUUCGGAAACCCGCAGUGAAUAGGUCCAGGCAACUGUUUACCAAAAACACAGGUCUCUGCUAAAGCGUAAGCUGAUGUAUAGGGGCUGACGCCUGCCCAGUGCUGGAAGGUUAAGAUGAUUUGUUAGGUGGACGAAAGUCGAUAACACCGAAGCUUUGAUUUGAAGCCCCAGUGAACGGCGGCGAUAACUAUAAUCGUCCAAAGGUAGCGAAAUUCCUUGUCAGGUAAGUUCUGACCCGCAC